rnacentral:lncRNA from 1 species
GGGAGAGAGGAGAAAAAGCAAAGAGAGGAGAGAGAGAUGAGAAGCACAGUGAUUGUGCGGUGUUUGUGACAUCAGCAGGACGAGCUACAAAGAGGGGUGUGACAGGAGACCAUGGAAGAGGCAGUAGGUCUUCAGUGACUAUAUAUAUGAGGCACACAUCUCAUAAGGACCAUGGCUCAGGAGAGCAUGCAGCAGAGUGCAGAGCAGCUGAGUCUGAGCUUUGAGUAGGCUGAAGGCAGCUUCAGAGGCAGCACAGCAUGUUCAGAAAUCUGCAGUGUGGAAGAGAUGCACAACAGCUUCCACCUCAACUGCCUGCAGACCUGACCCUGUCUGCUCUUUGGCAAAAUACCAAAGCACUGAUGUUUCAAAAGGCACAAUCUUUAAGCAAGAAAAGAACUACUUAUGGCAUGAAAACUGAUUCCUAUUGUAACUUCAGUAUUCUCAAGCUCCUCAGUCACUCUGCAUCCCAUUUCACUGUGACUCCAAGACAAUUCAACCUCUGUGGAAGAUGUGUGGGCAUACUGAAGCACAGGAGAGAGAAUCAGGCCUACGUUAUUUCCACUGAGUCUUCUCUCUGA